rnacentral:rRNA from 1 species
AGCGAACGCUGGCGGCAGGCUUAACACAUGCAAGUCGAGCGGGCGUAGCAAUACGUCAGCGGCAGACGGUGAGUAACGCGUGGGAACGUACCUUUGGUUCGGAACAACACAGGGAAACUUGUGCUAAUACCGGAUAAGCCCUUACGGGGAAAGAUUUAUCGCCGAAAGAUCGGCCCGCGUCUGAUUAGCUAGUUGGUAGGGUAAUGGCCUACCAAGGCGACGAUCAGUAGCUGGUCUGAGAGGAUGAUCAGCCACAUUGGGACUGAGACACGGCCCAAACUCCUACGGGAGGCAGCAGUGGGGAAUAUUGGACAAUGGGGGCAACCCUGAUCCAGCCAUGCCGCGUGAGUGAUGAAGGCCCUAGGGUUGUAAAGCUCUUUUGUGCGGGAAGAUAAUGACGGUACCGCAAGAAUAAGCCCCGGCUAACUUCGUGCCAGCAGCCGCGGUAAU